rnacentral:rRNA from 1 species
ACGCUGGCGGCGUGCCUAACACAUGCAAGUCGAACGAGAUCCAUGGGAGCUUGCUCCCGGAAGAUCUAGUGGCAACGGGUGAGUAACACGUGAGAAACCUGCCCUGGAGUGGGGAAUAACUCGGGGAAACUCGAGCUAAUACCGCAUACCCUCGGAUGGUCGCAUGGCCGACCGAGGAAAGAUUUAUCGCUCUAGGAGGGUCUCGCGGCCUAUCAGCUAGUUGGUGGGUAACGGCCUACCAAGGCAACGACGGGUAGCUGGUUUGAGAGAACGAUCAGCCACACUGGGACUGAGACACGGCCCAGACUCCUACGGGAGGCAGCAGUGGGGAAUCUUGCGCAAUGGGCGAAAGCCUGACGCAGCAACGCCGCGUGCGGGAUGACGGCCUUCGUGGUUGUAAACCGCUUUCAGCAGGGACGAAAAUGACGGUACCUGCAGAAGAAGCCCCGGCUAACUACGUG